rnacentral:rRNA from 1 species
GAUAUUGCACAAUGGGGGAAACCCUGAUGCAGCAACGCCGCGUGAGGGAAGACGGUUUUCGGAUUGUAAACCUCUGUCUUCGGUGAAGAUAAUGACGGUAGCCGAGGAGGAAGCCACGGCUAACUACGUGCCAGCAGCCGCGGUAAUACGUAGGUUGCAAGCGUUGUCCGGAAUUACUGGGUGUAAAGGGUGCGCAGGCGGGAAUGCAAGUCAGCUGUGAAAACUAUGGGCUUAACCCAUAGACUGCAGUUGAAACUGUAUUUCUUGAGUGAAGUAGAGGUAGGCGGAAUUCCUAGUGUAGCGGUGAAAUGCGUAGAUAUUAGGAGGAACACCAGUGGCGAAGGCGGCCUACUGGGCUUUAACUGACGCUGAGGCACGAAAGUGUGGGGAGCAAAC